GACGAACGCUGGCGGCGUGCUUAACACAUGCAAGUCGAACGGAAAGGCCCAGCUUGCUGGGUACUCGAGUGGCGAACGGGUGAGUAACACGUGGGUUAUCUGCCCCCAACUUUGGGAUAAGCCUAGGAAACUGGGUCUAAUACCGGAUAUGAUCAACUGUCGCAUGGUGGUUGGUGGAAAGCUUUUGCGGUUGGGGAUGGGCCCGCGGCCUAUCAGCUUGUUGGUGGGGUAAUGGCCUACCAAGGCGACGACGGGUAGCCGACCUGAGAGGGUGAUCGGCCACACUGGGACUGAGAGACGGCCCAGACUCCUACGGGAGGCAGCAGUGGGGAAUAUUGCACAAUGGGCGCAAGCCUGAUGCAGCGACGCCGCGUGCGGGAUGACGGCCUUCGGGUUGUAAACCUCUUUCACCAGGGACGAAGCGUGAGUGACGGUACCUGGAGAAGAAGCACCGGCCAACUACGUG
rnacentral:rRNA from 1 species